rnacentral:lncRNA from 1 species
ACAAAAAACAAAUAGAAAGCUAAAAUGAAGGCAAGUUUACAUUUAGAAAUAUCUCAUUGAUGAGAUCAUAGUGGUUGAAUAUAAGGAGCCAGGUAGUAAGCAUUAACAAAGAUUUUUAACAGGAAACCAUUCAAAAGCAAGCUUAAUAGUGUGAAAUGGAUAAAAUGUGAAAGGAAGAUGUGGCAGACGCUGGUGCCAUUUCCCUGCUUUCUUGCUAAUGGAACUCCUUCUCUGCCCCACGCAGAAUGCGACCAGUCUAACCAAAAGGAGAAUUGAGUAUCCAGAAAAGGUACAUGAGAUGACCUUGACGAGUUGAAGCUGGAGAGGAAGUCCUGUGCAUUUAGGAAAGAAGGAUCUGGGGAAAUGACUAUUGCCAAGUAAUUUUGGAUCUGGGAUGAGAAGGGGAAGCCAUUCUGAACCUCCCAAUUUUCUGGGGAAUUCAAAGUCCACUGAUUGUCUAUGUUUAUAUGACUGUUGGAUGUUGGACUCCAAUGUUUAUGUGUUCACCUUUUCUUACUUCUAUCUCUGAGCCCAAGGGAAGAAGUUGUGGCCAGCCUCUUAAAUGGUUUUGAAUGGUUUUGUUCAAAU